CACACCGGAACUGAGACACGGUCCGGACUCCUACGGGAGGCAGCAGUGGGGAAUAUUGGACAAUGGGCGCAAGCCUGAUCCAGCAAUUCCGCGUGUGUGAAGAAGGCCUUCGGGUUGUAAAGCACUUUAGGCUGGGAAGAAAAAAUCGAAGUGAACAUCUUCGGUCUUGACGGUACCAGCGGAAUAAGCACCGGCUAACUCUGUGCCAGCCGCCGCGGUAACAC
rnacentral:rRNA from 1 species